rnacentral:rRNA from 1 species
GAUGAACGCUGGCGGCGCGCCUAACACAUGCAAGUCGAACGAGUAAGACGCCUUCGGGCGUGCAUAGAGUGGCGAACGGGUGAGUAACACGUGACCAACCUGCCCCCUCCUCCGGGACAACCUCGGGAAACCGAGGCUAAUACCGGAUACUCCGGGCCCCCCGCAUGGGGAGCCCGGGAAAGCCCUGGCGGGAGGGGAUGGGGUCGCGGCCCAUCAGGUAGACGGCGGGGUAACGGCCCACCGUGCCUACUACGGGUAGCCGGGCUGAGAGGCCGAUCGGCCACAUUGGGACUGAGACACGGCCCAGACUCCUACGGGAGGCAGCAGUGGGGAAUUUUGCGCAAUGGGGGCAACCCUGACGCAGCGACGCCGCGUGCGGGACGAAGUCAUUCGUGACGUAAACCGCUUUCAGCGAGGAAGAAC